GGCAGAAAGUCCAUUAUGGACAUACCUUAGAAUUGCAACAUGUUAGAUUGUCAAAACUAGAUAAGCAGAGUAUGGCUACUAAAAUGGUGAAUGGUAUUACAAAUCAAAGGAUUCUUGAAUCGACUUGGGAUAGAAUUGGAGAAGAACUGAUUUGCUAACAUCAAGAGAUUUACGACAUAUAGAAAAUAGCUGCAGUCUUGAACUGAGAAAUGGAAAACGAGAUCCUAAUGACGCAUUUUCUAUUGCUCUUUGGGUUGAGGAAUGUGAAAAACUUCAACAAAAUCCUAUUUUAUUUUAUAAACAGCAAGGAAAAGAGCAUAGUAUAUUGAAAGAUGAUGAUUUUUGUAUUAUUGUUAUGAAUACUUUUCAAAAACAAAUGAUAAGAAAAUUUCCACGUAUAAUUUAUAUUGACAGUACACAUGGUUUGAAUGGUUAUGAUUUUGAAAUGACAACAAUAAUGGUACUAGACGAGUUUCACCACGGUUUCCCAUUGGCUGAAUUGUUUUCCAAUAGAAAGGAUACAGUAGUUUAUAGAUUAUAGAAAAAAAAAAAUUCGAAAAUAUUCAAAUUUUGAAUUUUUUCAUAGAAAAAGUAGUUUAUAAUAUUUUAGUGUGAAUACCUAUUGAUCAUAAAACUUUCAAAUUAUGGUGAGGGAUUGAAACUCAAAUUACACUUCUAAAUACCUAUGUAUAAUAAUAGUUCAGUAUUCCAUUUUUGCGAACAUUCAGGACAUGCAUGCUUAAGAUUUAUUUGGUAAUGGAGUAAAACUUUGUCUAAGAGUGAAGAAAUAUAAUUUUUUCAUUAUAUUCAUAAGUAUAUAUCACUUAUUAGAUUUUAUUUAUAAUGAGAAGUGCUUCUUUCUAUUAUUUUGCAUGACUAUUGACAUUAUUUUAUUUCAGGUGUUGUGUUUUUCAUGUCAGAUAUGGCUGAAUGCUUUUUUAAUGGUUGGCUUAAGUUGAUGGGUGAAGGGAAUGCAUCUUAUCCACAACAUUUGUUUUGCUCAUGGCAUGUUGAUCGUGCAUGGCAAAGUAAUUUAAAUAAAAUUUCUGACAGAGAGAAGCGUUCAGAAAUUUAUAAAAUUUUGAAAACUUUGCAACAAGAAACAUCAUUGUUACAAUUCACUUCUGCUUUGAUUAAUGCUUUAGCUUACAUUUGCAAUAAUGAAAAAACAAGAAAUUUUGUAGAAUAUUUAAAAAAGAAUUAUACUCAUAAUUUCAGGAAGUGGGCUUAUUGUUUCAGGGUUGAAGCAGGAAUCAAUACAAAUAUGCACUUGGAGUCAAUGCAUAAAGUCAUAAAAUACUUUUACCUGGAAAGGAAGACAGUAAAACGACUUGAUAAGGGAUUGAAUGCUGAGUUGAAGUAUGUGAGAGAUAAAAGUGUUGAAAGAAUAAUUAGAUUGACUAAAGGUGAACAUACGAAUCAGACAAGAUUUUCAUCUCAGAAUCACAAGGAAUUUCUCAUUGAUAAUUAUCAUAUUAGUUGGAAUAUUUUGAAAAAUGAACAAACUUCAUAUACUAUUUACCGAUUAUUAGAUAUAAUAUCUGGGCCACGUGAUGAGAGGGGAGAGGUAUACGCUGUUACAAACUAUUAUACAAGGAAAAAUACAGGGUAAAAGAAGUAUAGGAAGAAGACGCAUCUCCUGGUUGAACAACCUAAGGCAGUGGUACAACAGUAGCUCUGUUGAGUUGUUCAGAUCCGCAACUUCAAAGAUAAAAAUCACCAUGAUGAUAGCCUUAAAGGAGACGGCACAUAAAGAAGAAGAAGAUAUAAGUGUUGUGAGCAAAUAUGCUUGUUUUGUGAAGUAUGUACUCGCAUGUUUUCAUGUGAAUGCAAAUUUUAUUUGGAAAAGAGGACUAUGUGUGAACACAUUCAUAUGCUAAUAAAUAAGCUUCAAACUGAAAAUAAAUUGGAACCUGUUCCUGACUUCAGAGUAGAUAAUAUAUCCAAAGAACUGUUAGCUUUGUCUGAAAAACCAAAUUCCUCUAAUGAAAAAAUUAAGGAUAUAAAAGAUUUAGCUUCCAAAUUUGAAAGUUUAGACUUUGAAAAGUUUGAUGAUGAAACUAUCAACAAAAUUCAUCACCACCUAAUAAUUGGAAAAAAUAUAACGAGUUGUUCUAAUUUUCCAAAUUACAAUACCAAGUUUCAAUUAAGAAAUUAAUCUAAUAGAAGGUUAAUAGAAUCCCAAAUAAGAUUCACUUCCACAAAAAAAAUGCAUAAAAUCAAAGACCAGUCUCAAAAGACUAACAUUACAGGAAGCUAUUAACAUUGUAGAAAAUUUAAGCCGUGUCUCUGAAGAUUCAUUUCUCUACAAAUCGGGAGAACCACUGAAUGACCAUCAAUAUUGUUGAAUUACUUGAUUGGAUAUGUAAUGUUUUCAGUCUGACAUUCUUUUGAAAUAAUAGUAAUUUACGUAACAAGUCCGGAAAAUAGACUUCUCAGAGAAAGAGCGUCCAGGAAGUGCUCACUUCCCGGACGGUUGCCGAAAAAUAUUAUUUGUGAUUUGCAUCACUUUUUUUUUUAACUACUUAUAAACAAUUUCAUAUAACCUACAUCUCUGUUAUUAUAUUGUCCAUGACUACUAUCAAUCAGGAAUUCUUUUUUCAUAUAUUCUGCUGUUUUUUAUUCAUUAAUUAUUUUAUGGUAGGCGUUAUUCCUCAAUAUGUAAUCACAUUUAUGUAUUUUUUACACCAAAGAAAGAAUAAUGCAAGUAGGUAUUUCAUUCACAAAAUAAACAUUGAUACAUUUAUUAGUCUCAAAAAUUAGAACAUUCAUAUGGGAAAUUUUUCACAAUUAAAAUUAACUUACCGGGCGAGAGUCAAAAUAUUUCGAUUUUUUUCUGUUGAUUUUGAUUUGACGAUUGAUUCAGCAAUCUUUCACAUUAUAUACACAUAUAAGACAUUUUGAGAUAUCAUCUAUCAAACAGAAUUAACUGAUUCAAGUUCAAACUAAUUUGUAUUUCGCGCCAUAACCUACAUUAGAUUACAUUUGGCAACGUUGGAUUUUCCUGGGCUAUCUAUCCUCUCGUAUAAUCCCUGAUUCGAAUCAUUCCGUCAGAUUGUGUUUACAUAAUUUUUUAAUAUUGAUAUUUAUUAUUUGUUUUUUUUUCAUAUGUGCUUAAUAAUUCGAUGAUAAAAAGUUAUAUAAUAAACCCUUGUAUAAAA